rnacentral:tRNA from 1 species
GGGACAGUGGCGGAACUGGUAUACGCGCACGACUUAAAAUCGUGUCUCGAAAGAGAUGAGGGUUCGAUUCCCUCUUGUCCCA